rnacentral:rRNA from 1 species
CCUACGGGUGGCAGCAGUGGGGAAUAUUGGGCAAUGGGCGCAAGCCUGACCCAGCAACGCCGCGUGAAGGAAGAAGGCUUUCUGGUUUUUAACUUCUUUUUGUAGGGACAAAGAACGUGACGCUACCUGAUGAUUAAGCCACGGCUAACUACGUGCCAGCAGUCGCGGUAAUACGUAGGUGGCAAGCGUAAGCCGGAUUUAUUGGGUGUAAGGGGUGAGUAGGUGGGAGGGCAAGUCAGAUGUGAAAGGUCGGGGCUCAACCCUGAGAUUGCAUUUGAAACUGGGUUGCUUGAGUGCUGGAGAGGCAAGCGGAAUUCGGGGUGUAGCGGUGAAAUGCGUAGAUAUAAGGAGGAACACCAGUGGCGAAGGCAGCUUACUGGACAGUAACUGACGCUGAGGCGCGAAAGCGUGGGGAGCAAACAGGAUUAGAUACCCUUGUAGUC